UUUCCAUUUAGUAGUCCCGGACGAUUAAAAUCUUUACGUACGGUUUGGACAUAAUGGAGAGAUAAAUUUGCUCUUUUUUUGCAGCGAAGCUAAAUUAAAUUUUUGCUUUGUUAGCCCUAAGUGUAAUACAAUC
rnacentral:sRNA from 1 species